rnacentral:tRNA from 1 species
GCGGGUGUGGCGGAAUAGACUUAGGAUCUAGUGUCUUUACGGCGUGGGGGUUCGAGUCCCUUCACCCGCA